UACGUAGGGAGCAAGCGUUGUCCGGAAUCAUUGGGCGUAAAGCGCGCGUAGGCGGCCCUGUAAGUCCGUUGUGAAAGUCAAAGGCUCAACCUUUGAAAGCCGAUGGAUACUGCAGGGCUGGAGUCCGGAAGAGGCGAGUGGAAUUCCUGGUGUAGCGGUGGAAUGCGUAGAUAUCGGGAGGAACACCUGUGGCGAAAGCGGCUCACUGGACCACAACUGACGCUGAGGCGCGAAAAGCUAGGGGAGCAAACAGG
rnacentral:rRNA from 1 species